GAUCCUGCCGGACCUGACUGCUAUCGGAUUGAUACUAAGCCAUGCGAGUCAUUGUAGCAAUACAAGGUUCUCGGCUCAGUAACGCGUAGUCAACCUAACCUAUGGACGGGAAUAACCUCGGGAAACUGAGAAUAAUGCCCGAUAGAACACUAUGCCUGGAAUGGUUUGUGUUCCAAAUGAUUUAUCGCCGUAGGAUGGGACUGCGGCCUAUCAGUUUGUUGGUGAGGUAAUGGCCCACCAAGACUAUUACAGGUACGGGCUCUGAGAGGAGUAGCCCGGAGAUGGGUACUGAGACACGGACCCAGGCCCUAUGGGGCGCAGCAGGCGAGAAAACUUUGCAAUGUGCGAAAGCACGACAAGGUUAAUCCGAGUGGUUUCUGCUAAAGGAACCUUUUGUCGGUCCUAGAAACACCGAUGAAUAAGGGGUGGGCAAGUUCUGGUGUCAGCCGCCGCGGUAAAACCAGCACCUCAAGUGGUCAGGAUGAUUAUUGGGCCUAAAGCAUCCGUAGCCUGCUUUGUUAGUUUUCGGUUAAAUCUAUACGCUCAACGUAUAGGCUGCCGGGAAUACUGCAAAGCUAGGGAGUGGGAGAGGUAGACGGUACUCGGUAGGAAGGGGUAAAAUCCUUUGAUCUAUUGAUGACCACCUGUGGCGAAGGCGGUCUACCAGAACACGUCCGACGGUGAGGGAUGAAAGCUGGGGGAGCAAACCGGAUUAGAUACCCGGGUAGUCCCAGCCGUAAACCAUGCAAACUCAGUGAUGCAUUGGCUUGUGGCCAAUGCAGUGCUGCAGGGAAGCCGUUAAGUUUGCCGCCUGGGAAGUACGUACGCAAGUAUGAAACUUAAAGGAAUUGGCGGGGGAGCACCACAAGGGGUGAAGCCUGCGGUUCAAUUGGAUUCAACGCCGGG
rnacentral:rRNA from 1 species